rnacentral:rRNA from 1 species
GUGGGGAAUAUUGGGCAAUGGGCGAAAGCCUGACCCAGCAACGCCGCGUGAGGGAAGAAGGCCUUCGGGUUGUAAACCUCUGUCCUUGGUGACGAAAAAAAUGACGGUAGCCAAGGAGGAAGCACCGGCUAACUACGUGCCAGCAGCAGCGGUAAUACGCAGGGGGCGAGCGUUGUCCGGCAUUACUGGGCGUAAAGGGUGCGUAGGUGGCCUUUUAAGUUGGGUGUGAAAGACCAGGGCUUAACUUGUGGAGUGCAUCUAAUACAGGAGGGCUAGAGUGCAGGAGAGGGAAGCGGAAUUCCUAGUGUAGCGGUGAAUUGCGUAGAUAUUAGUGGGAACACCAGUGGCGAAGGCGGCUUUUUGGACUUUAACUGAAACUGAGGCACGAAAGCGUGGGGAGCAAACAGGAUUAGAAACCCUGGUAGUCC